UAUUAGUCAGAGAAACACUCACUAGCUGC
rnacentral:piRNA from 1 species